CUCCAUGAAGUUGGAUUCGCUAGUAAUCGCGCAUCAGCCAUGGCGCGGUGAAUACGUUCCCGGGCCUUGUACACACCGCCCGUCAAGCCAUGGGAGCCGGGGGUGCCUGAAGUUCGUUACCGCAAGGAUCGACCUAGGGCAAAACUGGUGACUGGGGCUAAGUCGUAACAAGGUAUC
rnacentral:rRNA from 1 species